GAUCCAGACCAGCAUAGGAUUGAAUAUCACCAGUUCUGUGCUAGCAGCCUUAGGGGUCAUACUCACGGCAAUCAGCAUGAACAUUUUGUCAUUUGAAUAUUCUAUCUGUCACCGGGCUCACAUGCCAGAUAUGUGUUCCCUGACCUUUGCAGUUAUGACGGGUCUGGAAGGUAUGGUGCUCAUUUUCAGUCUGCUGGAACUCAGCAUUGCCUUGGCCCUCGCUACCUUUGGAUGCAAAGUUACCUGUUGUAACCCCACUGGGGUUGUGUUAAUCCUACAGUCAAAUCCUCUUGUGGCGCAAACUGCAUCUCCUGCCCCAGUCCAAGAAGGUUUGAUGCCACUGACGAAUCAAAAGGAAAAUGUUCCAUAGAAGAAUCUUCCUGGUUUUAGUGCAAGAACCUCACCUGGGAAACUGCCAGAAUCCAACUCCAAUUUGUGUGUGGUUGUGUGUGUUUAUAAAAGCUCAAACCAUAUUCCAGCUUUUCCCCCCAGAACCAACUCAAGCCAGUGAUCCUUUAUCAGAAUAUUAGACAUUGAACAGGUGAAUCGAAUCGUGCAUUUAAUGCUCAGUGAUCCUCAAAUUUCGUCCAUCUUAAGCCAUCAAGUUGGCAAAGCUUUGCUGACAGGCAGAGAUAUUACUGAAAUUAGAAGAACGAGGCUCUUGUACACAUUUCCUAUUUUUAUUUUCCUGUCCUCCGCCCAUUGGUUUACCUGUUUAACUUUUUUCUUAACUCAUCUUUGAGGAUUCAACUCAUUUUUCUCCUUCAAGAAGUUGACAGUUAUAGCCCCUCAUCUCCCCUUUACCACCACCUUCUUUCCUUAUCCUGUAACAAGCACCAGAGAAUAGCAGUCAGUUCGUGUAUGGACAAAAGCCAUGAUUUGAAUGUAAAUACACACAAAUCAAAUUCAACUUUCACAUUUCUCUCUCUUUCCUCUAUCUGGUAAGUGUCUAUCUUAAAUUAGUAAACAGUGCUAUAUAUGCCUGCACAAUGUGUGUUAUUUACUAUAUGUUCAUUAAAUGCAUUUGCUUUAUUUACUACUGAGCAAAAAAUAAAUUAGACAAAAUUAGAAGCAGAACAUUUCUGAGCUACAUACUUCUCAUUCAGAUAUAAUAUUGGUAGGAAAAGACUAAGUGGUUACAUCAAGAAAUGUAGUAGUGGGCCAGGGAUUUAGCUCAGUGGUUUCGCUGCCUGCUGCGCAAGCGCAAGGACCCGAGUUUGAUCCUCGGUACCAAAAGAAAAAAGAAAAAAAAAAGAAAUGUAGUAGGAUCCUGGGCAUAGAGGUACAGACCAAUAAUCCCAGCAUUCCAAAGACUGAGGCAGGGGGAUUGCACUGAGUUCAAGUCCAGCCUUGGCACAGCAAAACCCUGUCUCAAAAAGAGAGAGAGAGAAGGCACUGGGGAUUUAGUUCAGUGGUUUCGCCACCUGCUGCACAAGCACAAGGACCGGAGUUCGAUCCCCAGUACCAAAAAAAAAAAAAGAGAGAGAGAGAAAAUGUAAUGAUGUGUUAAAAAUGUGUGCUUUUAAAACAAUCAACUUGGGUUUCAUUUUAAAAAUCCUAUGUCUCUUAUUUUGUACUUACGCUAUAUAACCAUGGAGUUAUGAAAAAAUUUCUCUGUGCUUCAUAUAUCUCUUCAAUAAAAGAAUAUCA